CGGAGUGUAGCGCAGUUUGGUUUAGCGCACUACCUUGGGGUGGUAGGGGUCGCCAGUUCAAAUCUGGCCACUCCGA
rnacentral:tRNA from 1 species